rnacentral:rRNA from 1 species
CUUGGAACUCUGAGACAGGUGCUGCCUGGCUGUCGUCAGCUCGUGUUGUGAAAUGUUGGGUUAAGUCCCGCAACGAGCGCAACCCUUAUCCUUUGUUGCCAGCGGUUAGGCCGGGAACUCAAAGGAGACUGCCAGUGAUAAACUGGAGGAAGGUGGGGAUGACGUCAAGUCAUCAUGGCCCUUACGAGUAGGGCUACACACGUACUACAAUGGCAUAUACAAAGAGAAGCGACCUCGCGAGAGCAAGCGGACCUCAUAAAGUAUGUCGUAGUCCGGAUUGGAGUCUGCAACUCGACUCCAUGAAGUCGGAAUCGCUAGUAAUCGUGGAUCAGAAUGCCACGGUGAAUACGUUCCCGGGCCUUGUACACACCGCCCGUCACACCAUGGGAGUGGGUUGCAAAAGAAGUAGGUAGCUUAACCUUCGGGAGGGCGCUUACCACUUUGUGAUUCAUGACUGGGGUGAAGUCGUAACAAGGUAACCG